GACGAACGCUGGCGGCGUGCUUAACACAUGCAAGUCGAACGGAAAGGCCCUGCUUUUGUGGGGUGCUCGAGUGGCGAACGGGUGAGUAACACGUGAGUAACCUGCCCUUGACUUUGGGAUAACUUCAGGAAACUGGGGCUAAUACCGGAUAGGAGAUCCUGCUGCAUGGUGGGGGUUGGAAAGUUUCGGCGGUUGGGGAUGGACGCGCGGCUUAUGAGCUUGUUGGUGGGGGAGUGGCUUACCAAGGCUGUGACGGGUAGGCGGCCUGGGAGGGUGACCGGCCUCCUGGGUCCUGGGAUACGGACCAGACUCCUACGGGGGGCAGCGGGGGGGAAUAUUGCACAAUGGGCCGAAGCCUGAUGCGACGACCCCGCGGUCGGGAUGCCCGCCUUCUGGUUGUAAACCGCUUUCGCCUGUGACGAAGCGUGAGUGACGGUAAUGGGUAAAGAAGCACCGGCUAACUACGUG
rnacentral:rRNA from 1 species